UUUGUCCUCUAAGCUUAUUGCAAUGCAUUCUGGGAUUGGGUUCUCUUUGAAAGAUAUGUGCAAUGUUGCACUUGAAUUGGCCAUUAGAUAAAAUAUAGAGACAUGAUGAUGGGCAGCCUGAGAUACUAUAUGCCUUAAAUGCCGUCUAUGUAGGCAGCUCACUAGAAUUUGGAACAGAGCUUUAAACUCACACACACUCUCAAAAUGGUCUUUUUUGUACUUCAGUUCCAGAACCUCCUGACGACCUCACUUUUAUUGAACAGGAAGUGAGCAGCAUGUAUGUGAUGUGGACACACCCACCGGGCAGCGUGGAUGGUUACAGGCUUCAAUAUGGCUUUGCGGGUGACCUCCCUCUGCAGCACCGGGUUGAUCUUCAUGGCAACAGUGUCAGGAUUCAUGACCUGACCCCAGGAAGUGAUUACAGGUUUGAGAUCCAGUCCUUCCUGGGGUCAGAUUUCAGCCACACCACAUCCCAAAACAUCUCUACUAGUAAGAAUCUACCAGUCAGUAUUUCUGAUUCUGUUCUUAGUGAUGCUUUCUACUUUUGGUAUCAUAAUCAAAUGCAGAUAAAACACAUAUUAACAAUAAAGGUCAUUCUUGAUGUUUUUCUCAACUAUUUCUUUUUUAUUCCAGGGCCAGCAGGUGUAUGUUCACUCUCUGUGUUUCACGUCAAUGGGACCGCCGCCACAGUGUCAUGGAAACCAGCCACUGGUCAUUUUGAUUUUUAUAGAGUGGCGGUCAGUAACAUCUCUCAUAUCUGGACAUUAGAUGUGAGUCCACACUCGCAGGUGGUCACCGUCAGCAGCCUGUGGAAUGGCUGCUCCUACAACAUCACUGUUCAACGCUUCAGAAACAACAUCAGUGGAACUGCUGCCACAAUCACCAUACGUACAGGUUUGACUGUUACCCACAAUACACUUUGCACAACUGAAGGUAUUAGUUCCUGUAAAACUGUUUUAAAACAGUUUGUAUUGUCAAUUAACGCCCAAAUUGAACCAAGCAUUGAACCAAACUGAAUCACUUUGAAUUGCACUCAACUGUAU
ensembl:lncRNA